rnacentral:rRNA from 1 species
AGGAGCCGAAGAAGGACGGGACUAACACCGAUAUGCUUUGGGGAGCUGUACGUAAGCGUUGAUCCAGAGAUUUCCGAAUGGGGGAACCCACUAUCUUUAGUCGGAUAGUAUCCUUACGUGAAUACAUAGCGUGAGGAAGGCAGACCCAGGGAACUGAAACAUCUAAGUACCUGGAGGAAGAGAAAGAAAAAUCGAUUUCCUGAGUAGCGGCGAGCGAAACGGAAAGAGCCCAAACCAAGAAGCUUGCUUCUUGGGGUUGUAGGACACUCUAUACGGAGUUACAAAAGAAAGUUAUAAAUGAAGCGGUCUGGAAAGGCCCGCCAAAGACGGUAACAGCCCGGUAGUUGAAAUGGCUUUCCCUCCAGAGUGGAUCCUGAGUACGGCGGAACACGUGAAAUUCCGUCGGAAUCCGGGAGGACCAUCUCCCAAGGCUAAAUACUCCCUAGUGACCGAUAGUGAACCAGUACCGUGAGGGAAAGGUGAAAAGCACCCCGGAAGGGGAGUGAAACAGUUCCUGAAACCGUGUGCCUACAAGUAGUUAGAGCCCGUUAAUGGGUGAUAGCGUGCCUUUUGUAGAAUGAACCGGCGAGUUACGAUUUGUUGCAAGGUUAAGCGGAAAAAGCGGAGCCGUAGCGAAAGCGAGUCUGAAUAGGGCGCAUAAGUAACAGGUCGUAGACCCGAAACCAGGUGAUCUACCCAUGUCCAGGAUGAAGGUAAGGUAAUACUUACUGGAGGUCCGAACCCACGCACGUUGAAAAGUGCGGGGAUGAGGUGUGGGUAGCGGAGAAAUUCCAAUCGAACUUGGAGAUAGCUGGUUCUCUCCGAAAUAGCUUUAGGGCUAGCCUCGAGGUAAAGAGUCAUGGAGGUAGAGCACUGUUUGGACUAGGGGCCCUUCUCGGGUUACCGAAUUCAGAUAAACUCCGAAUGCCAUGUACUUAUACUCGGGAGUCAGACUGCGAGUGAUAAGAUCCGUAGUCGAAAGGGAAACAGCCCAGACCACCAGUUAAGGUCCCCAAAUAUAUGUUAAGUGGAAAAGGAUGUGGGGUUGCUUAGACAACCAGGAUGUUGGCUUAGAAGCAGCCACCAUUGAAAGAGUGCGUAAUAGCUCACUGGUCGAGUGACCCCGCGCCGAAAAUGUACCGGGGCUAAACAUAUUACCGAAACUGUGGAUGAACCUCUUUAGAGGUUCGUGGUAGGAGAGCGUUCUAAGGGCGGUGAAGUCAGACCGGAAGGACUGGUGGAGCGCUUAGAAGUGAGAAUGCCGGUAUGAGUAGCGAAAGAAGGGUGAGAAUCCCUUCCACCGAAUAUCUAAGGUUUCCUGAGGAAGGCUCGUCCGCUCAGGGUUAGUCGGGACCUAAGCCGAGGCCGAUAGGCGUAGGCGAUGGACAACAGGUAGAGAUUCCUGUACCAGUGCUAAUUGUUUAACCGAUGGGGUGACACAGAAGGAUAGGGAAUCGCACGAAUGGAAAUGUGCGUCCAAGCAGUGAGUGUGAGAAGUAGGCAAAUCCGCUUCUCGCGAAGCAUGAGCUGUGAUGGGGAAGGAAAUUAAGUACGGAAGUUCCUGAUUUCACGCUGUCAAGAAAAGCCUCUAGGAAGAGUAGUACUGCCCGUACCGCAAACCGACACAGGUAGAUGAGGAGAGAAUCCUAAGGUGAGCGAGAGAACUCUCGUUAAGGAACUCGGCAAAAUGACCCCGUAACUUCGGGAGAAGGGGUGCUCUAUUAGGGUGCAAGCCCGAGAGAGCCGCAGUGAAUAGGCCCAGGCGACUGUUUAGCAAAAACACAGGUCUCUGCAAAACCGUAAGGUGACGUAUAGGGGCUGACGCCUGCCCGGUGCUGGAAGGUUAAGAGGAGUGCUUAGCUUCGGCGAAGGUACGAAUUGAAGCCCCAGUAAACGGCGGCCGUAACUAUAACGGUCCUAAGGUAGCGAAAUUCCUUGUCGGGUAAGUUCCGACCCGCACGAAAGGCGCAACGAUCUGGGCACUGUCUCAACGAGAGACUCGGUGAAAUUAUAGUACCUGUGAAGAUGCAGGUUACCCGCGACAGGACGGAAAGACCCCGUGGAGCUUUACUGCAACCUGAUAUGGAAUGUUUGUACCGCUUGUACAGGAUAGGUAGGAGCCGAAGAGACGUGUGCGCUAGCAUACGAGGAGGCAAUGGUGGGAUACUACCCUGGCUGUAUGACCAUUCUAACCCGCCACGCUUAGCGCGUGGGGAGACAGUGUCAGGUGGGCAGUUUGACUGGGGCGGUCGCCUCCUAAAGAGUAACGGAGGCGCCCAAAGGUUCCCUCAGAAUGGAUGGAAAUCAUUCGCAGAGUGUAAAGGCACAAGGGAGCUUGACUGCGAGACUGACAAGUCGAGCAGGGACGAAAGUCGGGCUUAGUGAUCCGGUGGUUCCGCAUGGAAGGGCCAUCGCUCAACGGAUAAAAGCUACCCCGGGGAUAACAGGCUUAUCUCCCCCAAGAGUCCACAUCGACGGGGAGGUUUGGCACCUCGAUGUCGGCUCGUCGCAUCCUGGGGCUGUAGUCGGUCCCAAGGGUUGGGCUGUUCGCCCAUUAAAGCGGCACGCGAGCUGGGUUCAGAACGUCGUGAGACAGUUCGGUCCCUAUCCGUCGCGGGCGCAGGAAAUUUGAGAGGAGCUGUCCUUAGUACGAGAGGACCGGGAUGGACACACCGCUGGUGUACCAGUUGUUCCGCCAGGAGCAUCGCUGGGUAGCUAUGUGUGGCAGGGAUAAACGCUGAAAGCAUCUAAGCGUGAAGCCCCCCUCAAGAUGAGAUUUCCCAUUUCUUCGGAAAGUAAGAUCCCUGAAAGAUGAUCAGGUAGAUAGGUUUGGAGUGGAAGUGUAGCGAUACAUGGAGCGGACAAAUACUAAUCGAU